UAAUGGUUAUCAUUUAAAGGGUAAUCUAUUAUGUGCCAGGCACUGUUCGACACAUUUUAUACACACUUGAUUUUGGCAAUAUCUUUGAGAGAUAGGUGUUAUUAUCCAUAUUUAGCAGAUACAUACUGAGCCUCAGAAUGAUUCAGUGAUGUGAUUAAAGUCACAAUAUUCGUAAAUAAAUAGAGAAGCAAUUCAAAUCAGGUUUGUUUAAUUCUAAAGUCCACUCCUUUUCCACUUACUGAGCCCUGCAAACAGCCUCGGAGAGGAAAAGUAGCAUUGAAUAGGCAAUAGAAAUCCUGAAGGUUGGGUGGGUGGAUGAAAAUGGGUCAUUUUCUUUGCAAAACUCUCCUCCCUCUUCUUCUCAACCUUUGCAUUAAGGAAUAUUGGGGCAGGGCAGAGAAAAAAAGGGGAUCAUAGGCUGAUAUCCAUUUGAAUUUCUCAGGGCCUCAUUGAUCAAACUGGAAAGGGUGCUCUGUCUCAUUUUCUCCCCACUUAUUCUCCUGUUUAACUUGCUGGAACUUUAACAUUUUGACCAAGAAUAUUCUCAAAUCUCUGUGUCUUUGGAACUGUCCUACAAAAAGUUUAAAGUCAUGCAGCACUAGUGUAGAUAUGAGAGGCAAUGAAAAAGACUGAAGGGGGAAACAAAACAAAAGGCUUUUCACCUCAGGCAAUUUUUUUUUCUUAUGGAAUUGUCCAUUAGCUGCCAAGUAUCUCCUGAAUGUAACAGCUAUGUUCUUCUUGAAUAUAUGCAGAGAUGAUUGGGAAGCUUAAUUUUUUUAAGCUGAGAGUUGCUUAUAAAAGUGCUGAUACAGGCAGGGUGCAGUGGCUCGUGCCUGUAAUCCCAGCUCUUUGGGAGACCAAGGCGGGUGGAUCAUCUGAGGUCAGGAGUUCGUGACCAGCCUGUCCAACAUGGUGAAACCCCGUCUCCACUAAAAAAAAAAAAAAAAAAAAAAAAAAAAAAUUAGCAGGGCAUGGUGGCGGGUGCCUAUAGUCCCAGCUACUCGGGAGGCUGAGUCUGGAAAAUCACUUGAACCCAGGAGGCAGAAGUUGCAGUGAGCCGAGAUCGCACCAUUGCAGUCCAGCCUGGGUGACAAGAGUAAAACUCUGUCUCCAAAAAAAAAAAAUAAAUAAAUAAAUUAAAAAAUUUAAAAAAUUAAAAAAAUUAAAAAGUGCUGAUAUAGUGAAGG
rnacentral:lncRNA from 1 species